rnacentral:lncRNA from 1 species
GUUCUAAACACAAUGAAAAAUUAUUUGUAAAAUAAGAAAGCGAGCCCAGCACUGGCAAACAUGGCUGUACUUAUUCUCUCUCUGCUCUAGGUUGUGGGUGUGCCCAGCUGCAUCAUGUCUCCACUGUCUUGACUUCCCUUCAGUGAUCAACUGUAACCUGGACUUGUACCUAAAAUAAGCCCUUUCUCAUCUUAGUUGCUUGUGUUGAAGUAUUUUUUAAUCACAGUCACAGGAAACAAAACUGAAACAUCCCCACAGUCACCACAGCAGUAGGAAGGGGAGAUGGUGGUAUUGCCUGGGUUAAGAUACAAUCUUCAUUCCCUGGUGCUGACUGUAAUGAAUGAGAUCCUUUCCAAACACUAUGAAUCUCCCAAAUUUGAAGAUUUGGUAUAAGCAAUGCAGAAAGAAUUUCUAAUGAUAAUUAAAACUCAGAAGCAUCAG